rnacentral:rRNA from 1 species
AGAGUUUGGAUCAUGGCUCAGGAUGAACGCUAGCGGGAGGCCUAACACAUGCAAGCCGAGCGGUAUAGAUCUUUCGGGAUCUAGAGAGCGGCGCACGGGUGCGGAACACGUGUGCAACCUACCUUUAUCAGGGGGAUAGCCUUUCGAAAGGAAGAUUAAUACCCCAUAAUAUAUUAGAUGGCAUCAUUAGAUAUUGAAAACUCCGGUGGAUAGAGAUGGGCACGCGCAAGAUUAGAUAGUUGGUGAGGUAACGGCUCACCAAGUCAAUGAUCUUUAGGGGGCCUGAGAGGGUGAUCCCCCACACUGGUACUGAGACACGGACCAGACUCCUACGGGAGGCAGCAGUGAGGAAUAUUGGACAAUGGGUGAGAGCCUGAUCCAGCCAUCCCGCGUGAAGGAUGACGGCCCUAUGGGUUGUAAACUUCUUUUGUAUAGGGAUAAACCUACCCUCGUGAGGGUAGCUGAAGGUACUAUACGAAUAAGCACCGGCUAACUCCGUGCCAGCAGCCGCGGUAAUACGGAGGGUGCAAGCGUUAUCCGGAUUUAUUGGGUUUAAAGGGUCCGUAGGCGGACUCGUAAGUCAGUGGUGAAAUCUCAUAGCUUAACUAUGAAACUGCCAUUGAUACUGCGGGUCUUGAGUAAGGUAGAGGUAGCUGGAAUAAGUAGUGUAGCGGUGAAAUGCAUAGAUAUUACUUAGAAC